UGCGCCAACACUACCUGCAAGCGCGUGCUGGUGGUCUUCGAGGACGACAGACAGCAGGUGGUCGAGGUGACGGACGACUUUGACGUGGACACUAAGGACCUGGCCGCCGUUAAGGCCAAGCUGACGGAGCAGGGCAUCACGGUGAGCGAAGGAAGCACCACGUUUUUGUUCACAGCGGAUACCGUAGUGCCAGUAGCAAUGACUGACUUGCCGACGAGAUACCGAUGCUUGUGCCAGUAAAUGCUGCCGAUAUUGUUCUCACAGGGCAUCAAGAGCGUGGCCCUGUACGGUGACAUGUCCUCCACGGAGAGCGGAAGCGGACCGUCCACGUCCGCGCCUCCGCGCACGCCUGGCGCGCCGCCUCGCUCGCCGGCGGGCACUGCCGCUGCUGGCGCACCCGCGUCCUCGCCGGAGCCCUCCAUGCGCCCUGGAACUGGACGCCGCGGCGCGAACCCGGACCACAACCGCAGCAGCAUCAUCUUUGGCUAAGCCCCGCUGGCUGACAGGUGCAAGGAUUUGAUGUGCGUUGGGGCUACUUGAUACAUAGCAGCGUGGGAUU
rnacentral:lncRNA from 1 species